AGUCACUGACAUUAGACUACCCCCGUAGUCCCAGCCGUAAACUAUGCGCGUUAGGUGUAUCGGUGACCACGAGUCACCGAGGUGCCGAAGGGAAACCGUGAAACGUGCCGCCUGGGAAGUACGGUCGCAAGGCUGAAACUUAAAGGAAUUGGCGGGGGAGCACAACAACGGGUGGAGCCUGCGGUUUAAUUGGACUCAACGCCGGACAACUCACCGGGGACGACAGCAAUAUGUAGGCCAGGCUGAAGACCUUGCCUGAAUCGCUG
rnacentral:rRNA from 1 species